rnacentral:rRNA from 1 species
GACGAACGCUGGCGGCGUGCUUAACACAUGCAAGUCGAAUGGAAAGGCCCUGCUUUUGUGGGGUGCUCGAGUGGCGAACGGGUGAGUAACACGUGAGUAACCUGCCCUUGACUUUGGGAUAACUUCAGGAAACUGGGGCUAAUACCGGAUAGGAGCUCCUGCUGCAUGGUGGGGGUUGGAAAGUUUCGGCGGUUGGGGAUGGACUCGCGGCUUAUCAGCUUGUUGGUGGGGUAGUGGCUUACCAAGGCUUUGACGGGUAGCCAGCCUGAGAGGGUGACCGGCCACAUUGGGACUGAGAUACGGCCCAGACUCCUACGGGAGGCAGCAGUGGGGAAUAUUGCACAAUGGGCGGAAGCCUGAUGCAGCAACGCCGCGUGCGGGAUGACGGCCUUCGGGUUGUAAACCGCUUUCGCCUGUGACGAAGCGUGAGUGACGGUAAUGGGUAAAGAAGCACCGGCUAACUACGUG